AUGCCCGCGGACCUGCGCUCUUCGCGAUUUCUCCUCAGCUCUCGCGUGUUGGCAAUCGCGGCGAAGUGGCCACUUCGGACGGUCCGAGUGCGACUGCCAUCGACCGGGAGCGAUUGCGAGGGUCCCGUGGCUCAAGUUUUAAAUUAGAAAUGCGCGCCGGGAACGUUCCGCGGUGCAUUUCACCGGUCAGCUGUUUUUCACGGGAGAAUAUUUUGUGUUAAAAGGAGAAUGAGGUAAAAUACCCAGUACUUGAAGACAUUUCAAAGUAUAUCAUGUUUGACUUCGAUUUGGCAAAUCGAUAUUAGCUUAAUCAAGAAAAUAACACUAGCUCUACAAUGUACCUGUAAUUCUAAAUCAAUUGCAGAAGAAAGUCUAGCAAAUUAAGUAUAUAUAAUUAAGAUUAAUUAAGAUUAUAAUUAAGAUUUACCAUUUUGUACAAGCUCUGAAAGUUAUGCGGAACAAAAUGCAGUAAUUGAACAAUCUAUUAUCGACAAUCAGUAAUAGUUGAAGAAACAUACAAUACGAAUUUGGUCUCUGUGUUUUAAAUAGGAAUAAAGGAACACAGGACGAGCAAUCAGAAUUUUAAAAUAUAUGCGAGUUUAAUUUUAAUUCCUGUUCUACCAGAAUCGCAGGAAAUAGAAACAGAAGCAAUACCGAGAAGAAAUUACCUUCAGCUUGACCUCCUCGACCACGAUCGAUCGUUGAAAUUAAUUCUAGACUACAGUCACACAAUCUAUUUUCCAGUUCUCCUACGUUUCACGCGAUUCGACGAUCAACAAUUAUUUAUCGAAUGAGUGCACUUUAGAAAGGAGAAACGACAGGAAUAUGCUUAACCGUGAAGACAACUAUCUAUUCUGUUUAUUGUUUGCAUAUAUACAGUCAGUUCCAUGACGUUACGUCUAUCCUAGGAAUUUGUUUAAAUUAAAUGGUAGGUUUGAUAUUUCCAAAUAAAUGGUUCGUUAUAAAUAUGCACAUGUGUCAAAUUUAUUCACGUAUUCAUAUUUAUAAUGAAACAUUCAUCGAUAGACAUAGCAGGUACAAAUACUUACAGGAUUAAUUGUAUACCCUGUAAUAGCUUCAUCGGACCCAUCAUUAAUAAUAUUACUAUUAAGGAGAAUAAUUUAUUCAAGAUCAGAAACUGGAUGAACAAUUUAUCCUGACACCUUUAUCAUCAAUUUUACAAUUUUCUCACUACAUAUUGCAGAAAUGUCAUCAAUCAUAGGAGCUAUUAAUUUUAUUGUUACAAUUCUAAACAUAAAAAAUUCAAGUUUAAAUUAUGAUCAAAUAACUUUAUCUUCACGAUCAGUAAUAAUUACAGCAAUUUUAUACCAUUUUUAUUUGAAAAUUUUCUUAGUCCUUCGAGUAUUAAGAAAUUCAAAAACCUCUUCAAUGAGUCCUCGCCAAACGCUUUUCCCUGGUCUCCAGAAUCAUUUCUCGAGGAACUCGGACUAUAACCGAAUUGCAUAACUUCCUUCUGUAUUGCAACUCUUCGGCUCGAUGCACCAAAGCAAGGACCGAGCUUUGUAGUCCUCGAACGUUUCCACCCAAGUGGAUCCUUCUCCCAACAACUUCACGUUUUUCGUUGCAUAUUUCCCGGUCUCAAGAAGGACCAGCGUUGCAACUCGACGUAAGUAUGCACGAUGCAACACGUAGACCAGGUGACAAAGAAAGUCAGCGACAAAAUAGAGCAGCGAUUGCCUGAAGAGCUUUCACUUGCAUGCGAUCGUGCAUAGAGUGGUUACGUGAAACUCCAGUUUCUCAAUGAAAGCUUUUCCGAUCGCUAAUCCUGAAAAGACUUUGAAUUUUUGUUUGCAAUAUUGUGUUGUCCAAAUCUCUAGAACAGAGAUGCGUCAACCAUGAUAUAUUUAAUCUUUAUUUCGUAUUUGUACACGCCCUCGGCAUGCCACAUACAAUCGAUAUAAUACAGUCCAAUGCAGCCAAGGUUGAAGUAAAAUACAAAAAAUAUAUAGAUAUAUAUUGAUAUACAAUAUAUUUAUACAUAUAUUUAUAUUCUACGUCGAUAGUUAUUAUUGUUACCACGAUGUUAUAACGCUGAAUAUAUUAUGGAUAAUAUUCUAAGAAUAUCAUACAAAGAAGAGUGCUGGUUACGGUGGGGCACGUAAUUCGGAUUGAGCGCGGUGCGGUUUAUUUCGUAUUAUUCUUCAGCGUUUUUUUUUUUCAUUUUUGAAAUCGCUGAGAGAAACGGCCGCAAUGAUCAUCGUUUCUCGGUUAUCUCACUCUAUCACCGUGCGUGUAACUGAAAUCAACGAUCCUCGAACGAAAACGUUCGUAAAUCACAGCUACCUCGCGAUGACCCGUCGGAAGAUUUACAAGAGAAGAAAAGCUCAGCGUUAGGAAAAGAUUGUAAAAGUUCCCUGGAACGUUACGUAUGACUACACGAAGAAGUAAAACACUAUAGGUUCGAUUUAACGUUUCACGCGCGAAUCCGCUUUCUGACGAGUGUUUAGUAUUUUGUGACUAUUUAUCUGGAUUUUAGAAUAUAUAUUCACUACAUCAGACGAAAUUUAAACCUAUUUCUUAUAUAAGAUAAAUGAUACAUAACGAAAUUGUAAUUUUUCAAAGGAAAAAAUAAAUUACAAGUUAAACCAGUAUUUUUCUCGAGUUACGAAGACAAUUUAUCUUUGUAUCAUUAAGUAUUCAAAUAAAACCGCUUACUAAUACAGAAACGAAUUAUUUUUACAACUAAAGAAAUUACUAAUUUUAUUUUCAAUAACCUAUUAUGAGUUAGGAACAAAAGGAAUCGAUUCACGAAUUCUACAAAAAUAAAUUAUAUCGCAUUGUUAGUUCUUCGUGGACGCUUACAAUGUCAAAAUUGAUUUAUUUUAUCUUCGCGAUUAUCGAGUACGAUUUUCCACGGAACACUAUAACUUCGUGGGGAUACGAUUUGGGAAACGCUGUAUCAAUGUGCCCGCACAACUAGAACGUAUUGACUAAUGUAUUGCUAUCGAAUCACGAGGAAAGUGAAAACUUUCGAACGAUAGUAAAAAGUAGAGAUUCCUACUUCACGUGUAGCGAAAUACCCGGGUACACGGGUAAUUAAUGAAUCCGUAUUUUAAUCCGUGCAUCGAAAUACACGGGUACGCACAUUGACUUGAACAGUUAUUUUAACUAAUAAAUAAAGUUUUACAAGUUACACUAAAAAAUUUAAUCUGUUAUAUUUAUUCUUCUUAUGUUUAUAUUUUUUUAUUUAUUUGUUUUAUUGCUUAUCAAUAUUUUCCAAAUUAAUAGGGAUCAUUAUUUUAGAAUAAAAGCUUUUUUACAUAAAAGUUUGUAUACACAACUAAUUGAAUGCUGUACCCGUAUAAUUCGAUGUAUGAUUGACGGAUAUACGUGUUCCGCGUACCCGUGUAUUUUAAUACCCGUUCGAAACGGUGAUCUCUACUAUCAACCCCUUGACCUACACCUUAUUUUCCGAUUGCUCGGACCAUAGGAAACAGGAAGGUAGGAAGUACGAACGAAGUACCACGAAUCAGACUCGUGCUUAUUAUUUAUGGCCCAAAUCCCUUACCACGAGUCUCACUCGUCAUUGUAGGCCAAAGGGUCAACAGAUGAUUCUUCCAAAUUUAUGCCCGCGUACAACGAAGAUCAGAAUUCAAAGUCGUGUACAAAAUUUAUACGUCACGCUACGUAUAAAUUAAUUAUUACACAUGAAAACAAGUCGAGUGCUCGAUAGAACUAUUCUACCUCGAUACUUCUUCGAUACCUCUUCUUUUUUUUAAAUGUUCUAAUCUUUAUUUUCGAUGACGAGUUCAAUAGUUUCCGAGAUAUCCAUGAAAAAAACUAAUUAAAAGACUGAAUGAAAAUAUAAGCGAAAAAUCAGCUCGAUAAAAGUAUCAUCCUAAUUAAAUCUAAAGUGACUGGACCACGUCUUUCGUCCUUGGGAUUCGGGGUUACGUUCGUUGCAAGGAUCGGAAGAAGAGAUACGGGGAGAUAUAUUCGUUGAAACCAUUCGAGUUUUUUGAGUGUCUUUAUUAGAGCGUAGCCGGUAAGCGUUUUAUGGCAGCUUUACGAGGAUGACUGGGGUAGCGACCGUCGUAAAAGUCAUCGAAAAGAAAACCUAACCCAACGGUGAAACAACGAUAAGACGAUAAAUUCAUAAUAUUAACAGUAGUAGAAUGUAGUGAUUGAUUAACUAAGAUAAUUCAACUAAAAAAAAAAAAAAAAAGAAAAA